AGGUUAUAUUCCCAGAGGAUGUCAGUCCCAAGGACCAGUAGCUGCCAUCAGUUUGGAUUCUGAAAACUAACUGGCAUCAACACUGGGUGUAGAAACAUGCUUGCCUUAUGUAUCAGAGGACAUGCUCAGCAGAUCCAAGAGAUAUAUUUGGCAACUUUUUCUAGAAAAGGCACAUUGGGUAUCAUUCAUUACAUUCUUGAGUUUUUUUGGGUUUUUUUUUUUUUUUUUGAGACAGUCUUGCUGUAUUGCCCAGGCUGGAGUGUGGUGGCACAAUCACAGCUCAUUGCAUCCUCAAUCACCCAGGCCUAAGCAAUCCUCCCACCUUGUAGCUGGGACUACAGCUCACAGCACACCUGGCUAAAAUUUUUUUUUUGUUGAGACGGAUUCUCUAUGUUGCCCAGGCUGGUCUCAGGCUCCUGGGCUCAGAUGGUCCUCCUGCCUCAGCUUCCAAAGGCACAGGCCAAGUUGUAGCUUUGUCCCUUGCCAUCAUGCCCAACAAGAGGUUCUAUACCUUUUAAUGAAUUGACUUUCAUAAAUUGGUUAUGUUGGUGGGCAAAGUUCUUUAAGCUGGAAAUUGUAAAUUCCUCCUGAAAUGUUUUUUCAUGCAGUUACCAUGAACUAAUACUACAAUAAAGGAUGGUCUUGGGUGUCAAUUCUUGAAAA
rnacentral:lncRNA from 1 species